rnacentral:rRNA from 1 species
UACAGAGGUCUCGAGCGUUGUUCGGAUUCAUUGGGCGUAAAGGGUGCGUAGGCGGCGUGGCAAGUCUGAUGUGAGAUCCCGGGGCUCAACCCCGGAACUGCAUUGGAUACUGCCAUGCUAGAGUACUGGAGAGGAGAUUGGAAUUUACGGUGUAGCAGUGAAAUGCGUAGAUAUCGUAAGGAAGACCAGUGGCGAAGGCGAAUCUCUGGACAGUUACUGACGCUGAGGCACGAAGGCCAGGGGAGCAAACGGG